rnacentral:tRNA from 1 species
GCCUUUGUGGUGUAGUGGUCAGCACGUUCGACGCAUAACCGAGAGGUCCAAGGUUCGAUUCCUGGGGAGGGCA